UAUUAAAAAUUUCAUCUAUUUGUACUAUUAAAAACUAGUGUGGUUGAUAAAAUAACCAAACAGUGACAUCUGACGUGUGACAUAUACCUCAUGUUGACAUACAUGAACUUAUUUUUAACACCAGAAAUAGAUUAAUUUUUUAACA
rfam:Gossypium hirsutum cultivar TM-1 chromosome 11, whole genome shotgun sequence